rnacentral:rRNA from 1 species
CGUGGAGACAGGUGGUGCAUGGCUGUCGUCAGCUCGUGUCGUGAGAUGUUGGGUUAAGUUCCGCAACGAGCGCAACCCCUAUUGCAUGUUGCCCAUCCCGCUUCGGGCACUCAUGCGAAACUGCCCCGGCAACGGGGAGGAAGGUGGGGAUGACGUCAAGUCAGCAUGCCCCUUACGUCCUGGGCGACACACAUGCUACAAUGGGCGGCACAAAGGGCGGCGAGACCGCGAGGUGGAGCAAAUCCCAAAAAACCGUUCUCAGCUCGGAUCGGAGUCUGCAACUCGACUCCGUGAAGUUGGAAUCGCUAGUAAUCGUGGAUCAGCAUGCCACGGUGAAUACGUUCCCGGGCCUUGUACACACCGCCCGUCACACCACGAAAGUCUGCUGUACUCGAAGUCGCUGAG